rnacentral:rRNA from 1 species
AUUGAACGCUGGCGGCAGGCCUAACACAUGCAAGUCGAACGGUAACAGGAAGAAGCUUGCUUCUUUGCUGACGAGUGGCGGACGGGUGAGUAAUGUCUGGGAAACUGCCUGAUGGAGGGGGAUAUCUACUGGAAACGGUAGCUAAUACCGCAUAAUGUCGCAAGACCAAAGAGGGGGACCUUCGGGCCUCUUGCCAUCGGAUGUGCCCAGAUGGGAUUAGCUAGUAGGUGGGGUAACGGCUCACCUAGGCGACGAUCCCUAGCUGGUCUGAGAGGAUGACCAGCCACACUGGAACUGAGACACGGUCCAGACUCCUACGGGAGGCAGCAGUGGGGAAUAUUGCACAAUGGGCGCAAGCCUGAUGCAGCUAUGCCGCGUGUAUGAAGAAGGCCUUCGGGUUGUAAAGUACUUUCAGCGGGGAGGAAGGGAGUAAAGUUAAUACCUUUGCUCAUUGACGUUACCCGCAGAAGAAGCACCGGCUAACUCCGU